rnacentral:lncRNA from 1 species
UUAUUGUACAUACUUUAUGAUAUCCAUCAAUUGUAUAUAUUAAAAUUAUCGUACAAAUUUCAUAUGUUGUUUCAAACUGUACAUUUAAUUAUUUAUUGUACUUUUUGAAACAAUAAUAUGUGAUCUAUGGAAUAUCCAAUUAUUGCCCCGGGCCCAAAAUCCUUUACACGGCCCAAUUAGCCUAAAGCUUCAGUGAUCCAAAUUUAAAAUUAGAAGUCCAUUACUAAACCCCAUUUAACCCUAGCCUAGAUUAAACCCAAAUUAGUCCCAACCAAUAACCCUGUACCAGCCCAAAUUAGCCAAAAACAGAAACCCUAGUAGCCGCCUCUGUCGCAGCAGCCUCACUCUACGCACAGCAACUCCGCGAAUGUUGCAGCAACUGCCCAUCACUCCCACGUCGUACACGAUCCUUCCAGGAUCUUCCUGCAACAAGCCAUGACCACGAACAGAGAGAAUAGUAGAAAAUACAAAGGAAAAAUGUAAAAAAAGGCAGAGAACAGUUUUUUGAUAUUUUCUUUUUUUCUGUUAUUUCGGCUAUAAAAAGCCAAAUAUUUUUUUUGUAAGGGGGGUUACACAAUCAGAGAUUCAAAAAAAUACAGAACAGAGAUAACAAAAAAUAAUAAUUUUGAAGGUGAUUUUCGUUUCCGUUUUUUUCUUUUACUGCUUGCGGGUUUCAUUUUUUUUUCUAUUGGUUCUUUUCUUUUAAAAACUAAACAAGGAGAGGGAGUAGAGAAGAAACUUACCGGCAUUGUGUCGUUGGAAGACCCCUUCGUUUCGUCGCCAUCGGAGCGGUGAGGGUUUGAAAUGGCAGAGAGGGAAGUGCUGCUGCGGCACAUUUUUGGGAAUGGCAGAGGGGAAUUGUUUUUUUUAGGGUUUGAAAAAGGGUUUUGUUUGAUUUGAAAAACGGCGCCGUAUUUGUGUAACCCAAAAGCCCGUGUGACCCGACCCAAAAGCCCGAUAGGAUCCGCGUUUUUUGUUUCAAAUGGACUAUUGGCGCAAUUAGUCCUCCCG